AAAUUGUGAUGAGGGCAUCUGAGAAGUAGCUCAUUGAAGUACUCCCAUGCCUCGAAGAAAAGGACUCCGUCUUUUUGUUGGAAAGUAAAAAUUUUCCAUCUCAAUUG